ACGGAAGGCAGCAGUGGGGAAUAUUGGACAAUGGGGGAAACCCUGAUCCAGCGACGCCGCGUGAGUGAAGAAGUAUUUCGGUAUGUAAAGCUCUAUCAGCAAGGAAGAAAAUGACGGUACCUGACUAAGAAGCCCCGGCUAACUACGUGCCAGCAGCCGCGGUAAUACGUAGGGGGCAAGCGUUAUCCGGAUUUACUGGGUGUAAAGGGAGCGUAGACGGCAUGGCAAGUCUGAUGUGAAAGGUGGGGGCUCAACCCCCAAACUGCAUUGGAAACUGCCAGGCUCGAGUGCCGGAGAGGUAAGCGGAAUUCCUAGUGUAGCGGUGAAAUGCGUAGAUAUUAGGGGGAACACCAGUGGCGAAGGCGGCUUACUGGACGGUAACUGACGUUGAGGCUCGAAAGCGUGGGGAGCAAACAGGAUUAGAUACCCUGGUA
rnacentral:rRNA from 1 species